rnacentral:rRNA from 1 species
UCCUACGGGAGGCAGCAGUAGGGAAUCUUCCGCAAUGGACGAAAGUCUGACGGAGCAACGCCGCGUGAGUGAUGAAGGCUUUCGGGUCGUAAAACUCUGUUGUUAGGGAAGAACAAGUGCUAGUUGAAUAAGCUGGCACCUUGACGGUACCUAACCAGAAAGCCACGGCUAACUACGUGCCAGCAGCCGCGGUAAUACGUAGGUGGCAAGCGUUAUCCGGAAUUAUUGGGCGUAAAGCGCAUGCAGGUGGUUUCUUAAGUCUGAUGUGAAAGCCCACGGCUCAACCGUGGAGGGUCAUUGGAAACUGGGAGACUUGAGUGCAGAAGAGGAAAGUGGAAUUCCAUGUGUAGCGGUGAAAUGCGUAGAGAUAUGGAGGAACACCAGUGGCGAAGGCGACUUUCUGGUCUGUAACUGACACUGAGGCGCGAAAGCGUGGGGAGCAAACAGGAUUAGAUACCCUGGUAGUCCACGCCGUAAACGAUGAGUGCUAAGUGUUAGAGGGUUUCCGCCCUUUAGUGCUGAAGUUAACGCAUUAAGCACUCCGCCUGGGGAGUACGGCCGCAAGGCUGAAACUCAAAGG